AACGAACGCUAGCGGCAUGCCUAACACAUGCAAGUCGAACGAGACCUUCGGGUCUAGUGUCGCACGGGUGCGUAACGCGUGGGAACCUGCCCUUAGGUUCGGAAUAACUCCCCGAAAGGGGUGCUAAUACCGGAUAAUGUCUUCGGACCAAAGAUUUAUCGCCUUUGGAUGGGCCCGCGUUGGAUUAGCUAGUUGGUAGGGUAAAAGCCUACCAAGGCGACGAUCCAUAGCUGGUCUGAGAGGAUGAUCAGCCACACUGGGACUGAGACACGGCCCAGACUCCUACGGGAGGCAGCAGUGGGGAAUAUUGGACAAUGGGCGAAAGCCUGAUCCAGCAAUGCCGCGUGAGUGAUGAAGGCCUUAGGGUUGUAAAGCUCUUUUACCCGGGAUGAUAAUGACAGUACCGUGAGAAUAAGCUCCGGCUAACUCCGUG
rnacentral:rRNA from 1 species